AGAGUUUGAUCCUGGCUCAGAGCGAACGCUGGCGACAGGCCUAACACAUGCAAGUCGAACGAAGUCUUCGGACUUAGUGGCGGACGGGUGAGUAACACGUGGGAACGUGCCUUUAGGUUCGGAAUAACUCAGGGAAACUUGUGCUAAUACCGAAUGUGCCCUUCGGGGGAAAGAUUUAUCGCCUUUAGAGCGGCCCGCGUCUGAUUAGCUAGUUGGUGAGGUAAAGGCUCACCAAGGCGACGAUCAGUAGCUGGUCUGAGAGGAUGAUCAGCCACACUGGGACUGAGACACGGCCCAAACUCCUACGGGAGGCAGCAGUGGGGAAUCUUGCGCAAUGGGCGAAAGCCUGACGCAGCCAUGCCGCGUGAAUGAUGAAGGUCUUAGGAUUGUAAAAUUCUUUCACCGGGGACGAUAAUGACGGUACCCGGAGAAGAAGCCCCGGCUAACUUCGUGCCAGCAGCCGCGGUAAUACGAAGGGGGCUAGCGUUGCUCGGAAUUACUGGGCGUAAAGGGAGCGUAGGCGGACAUUUAAGUCAGGGGUGAAAUCCCGGGGCUCAACCUCGGAAUUGCCUUUGAUACUGGGUGUCUUGAGUGUGAGAGAGGUAUGUGGAACUCCGAGUGUAGAGGUGAAAUUCGUAGAUAUUCGGAAGAACACCAGUGGCGAAGGCGACAUACUGGCUCAUUACUGACGCUGAGGCUCGAAAGCGUGGGGAGCAAACAGGAUUAGAUACCCUGGUAGUCCACGCCGUAAACGAUGAUUGCUAGUUGUCGGGAUGCAUGCAUUUCGGUGACGCAGCUAACGCAUUAAGCAAUCCGCCUGGGGAGUACGGUCGCAAGAUUAAAACUCAAAUGAAUUGACGG
rnacentral:rRNA from 1 species